GGCUCGGAACUAGUUUAGCCAAUCAGCAUCCGUGAACCAGCUGAGCUAUUCGUGGUGUAGAACUAGUUUAGCCAAUCAGCAUCCGGUGAAACUAAUUUGUCUAAUGUUUGUAAGACACUGUAAAGACAUCUGAAUUUACCAGCAUCAUCGUCACCACCACCAUCAGCACGCGCCUUGCGAAUCGCUCGAGCUUUAUUGACUUCAGCCAUAGUCACACCAACUUUUGGAAUGCAGUUGUACCACCCAAGUUCACCUCUCGGAAAGAAUAGCGGGUAUGAGAGAGCGUCGUAGCACCCAUGAUAGGACCGGAUGCCAUGGAUCGACCUAUCCUUCCCUUGGAGGACAACACUAUUAUCGAACUGGCCCCGACCCUCGCUCCCCUCAAUCCAAACGGCAGCAACCUCUGAC
rnacentral:lncRNA from 1 species